UCCUCUCUCCAACCGUUUGGCUGGGUGUUGGACCGAGUUGGGGGCAACCGCAACUGGUCUCAAAGACAAUGACGGCGUCCGUGGGGCCCUCUUCGCAACGAGUCUUUCGAGGCACGCGGGGAGUUGCAAGGCCUCGUCGGGUCGGUCUAACCUUUUAUAUUUCUCA
rnacentral:misc_RNA from 1 species